UCAGAAGCCCUUCACAAUGGACGUCAACUCAAAACUCUUCCUCAGGUAUAUAAUAGUACAAAACACGUCCUGUCUCUCUUUAACCAAAACGACAAAACAAUGGCACUCAUGAACGGCGGCUUGAAUCUCCCAUCUACCAAACCGGCGAUCCGCCACCGUCAACCGGUCUCCUCCUCCGCCUCUAGACCGGCAUUCCUACGAAUCUCCGCCGUCAUCGAUCCCAAGAAUGAAUCCACUACGUCAAAGACCCCUGCGGCGGCGACGGUGAAGAAGCCCGUCGGGGUUCAUUUGAAUAAAUCUAAAUGGUCUCCGGAGACGUGGAAGGCGAAGACCGCGCUGCAGCAGCCGGAGUAUCCGGAUCAAACGGAGCUGGACUCGGUUCUCAAGACGAUCGAAGCCUUCCCGCCGAUCGUGUUCGCCGGGGAGGCUAGGCUGCUCGAAGAGAGGCUAGGUCAAGCCGCCAUGGGAGAAGCGUUUCUAUUACAAGGAGGUGAUUGUGCCGAGAGCUUCAAGGAGUUCAACGCUAACAACAUCCGUGACACGUUCAGGAUCAUUCUCCAGAUGGGUGCGGUUUUGAUGUUCGGCGGUCAGGUUCCGGUUAUCAAGGUGGGAAGAAUGGCGGGUCAAUUUGCUAAGCCUAGAUCAGACUCGUUUGAGGAGAGAGAUGGUGUGAAGCUGCCUAGUUACAGAGGAGACAACAUUAAUGGAGAUGCCUUUGAUGCCAAGUCAAGGAUCCCUGAUCCACAGAGGAUGGUCAGUGCCUAUUGUCAAUCUGCAGCCACUUUGAAUCUGCUUAGAGCAUUUGCCACUGGUGGAUACGCUGCUAUGCAGAGAGUUACUCAGUGGAAUCUUGAUUUUGCUGAGCAUAGUGAGCAAGGAGACAGGUACCGUGAACUUGCUAACCGGGUCGAUGAGGCACUUGGUUUCAUGCACGCUGCUGGGCUAACGCUUGAUCAUCCUAUAAUGCAAACAACUGAUUUUUGGACAUCUCAUGAGUGUUUGCUCUUGCCUUACGAACAAUCACUGACCAGACUAGACUCUACCUCUGGUCUCUACUAUGAUUGUUCUGCCCAUAUGGUAUGGGUUGGAGAGCGUACCAGACAGCUUGAUGGCGCCCAUGUCGAGUUUCUUAGAGGCAUUGCAAACCCACUCGGUAUUAAAGUGAGUAACAAGAUGGACCCAGCCGAGCUGGUGAAGCUGAUUGAGAUCCUGAACCCUGAGAAUAAACCGGGGAGGAUAACUAUAAUCACAAGAAUGGGUGCAGAGAAUAUGCGUGUGAAACUUCCUCAUCUAAUAAGAGCGGUUCGUGGAGCUGGACAGAUUGUGACAUGGGUUAGUGAUCCUAUGCAUGGUAACACCAUCAAGGCUCCUUGCGGUCUCAAGACACGUCCGUUUGACUCCAUCCUGAGGCAUUGCCACAAGAUUACAAGAGACCUCUUGAAGUUUUGAACUUCUUGAAAGGAAGGGAAGAGUGUUAUCCAAACUCAUGGAUUGCUUAUCAAAUAUUAUUGACGAUUCCAGUUUCUGUCGCCACUGCUGAAAGAAGCUUUUCCAAGUUAAAGCUAAUAAAGUCUUAUCUUCGAUCAACCAUGUCACAAGAAAGGCUGAAGUGAGAGCGUUCUUCGACGUGCACGACCAAGAAGGAAGCCAUCCAGGAGGUAUUCACCUGGAGAUGACAGGUCAGAACGUGACCGAGUGUAUCGGUGGGUCACGCACAGUGACCUUUGACGACUUGGGUUCACGUUACCACACGCACUGUGACCCACGUCUCAAUGCGUCGCAGUCCCUUGAGCUCUCCUUCGUCAUCGCGGAACGGCUCAGAAAAAGACGGAUCAAGUCCCAACAAGCUUUUGCUGUCUAGUAAUCGGGGAAGCUAAACAUUUUACAUGACUAUGAUCUCUACCUUAUGGUUACGUGACACGUUUUAGUCUGUUUUAUUUUACGUCCAGAAACUAUAGUUUCAUUGCCUAACUGCAUGUACUAUAUACAUGAUUUCAUCGUUGUAUUUCGGAUACUGCAUCAGUUUUCUUUUCUCUUGUUCAAAUAAGAUAAUUAUCAUUAUCAAUGAAUGAAGGUUAAACACA